UGAGGAAUAUUGGUCAAUGGGCGAGAGCCUGAACCAGCCAAGUAGUGUGCAGGAUGACGGCCCUAUGGGUUGUAAACUGCUUUUAUGCGGGGAUAAAGUGUGCGACGUGUCGUGCAUUGCAGGUACCGCAUGAAUAAGGACCGGCUAAUUCCGUGCCAGCAGCCGCGGUAAUACGGAAGGUCCGGGCGUUAUCCGGAUUUAUUGGGUUUAAAGGGAGCGUAGGCCGCCAGAUAAGCGUGUUGUGAAAUGUACCGGCUCAACCGGUGAAUUGCAGCGCGAACUGUUUGGCUUGAGUGCACGGUAAGCAGGCGGAAUUCAUGGUGUAGCGGUGAAAUGCUUAGAUAUCAUGAGGAACUCCGAUUGCGAAGGCAGCUUGCUGCAGUGCGACUGACGCUGAUGCUCGAAGGUGCGGGUAUCAAACAGG
rnacentral:rRNA from 1 species